rnacentral:rRNA from 1 species
UAAGCAUAUCAAUAAGCGGAGGAAAAGAAACCAACAGGGAUUGCCCUAGUAACGGCGAGUGAAGCGGCAACAGCUCAAAUUUGAAAUCUGGCUCUCGGGCCCGAGUUGUAAUUUGUAGAGGAUACUUUUGAUGCGGUGCCUUCCGAGUUCCCUGGAACGGGACGCCAUAGAGGGUGAGAGCCCCGUCUGGUUGGAUGCCAAAUCUCUGUAAAGUUCCUUCAACGAGUCGAGUAGUUUGGGAAUGCUGCUCUAAAUGGGAGGUAUAUGUCUUCUAAAGCUAAAUACCGGCCAGAGACCGAUAGCGCACAAGUAGAGUGAUCGAAAGAUGAAAAGCACUUUGAAAAGAGAGUUAAAAAGUACGUGAAAUUGUUGAAAGGGAAGCGUUUAUGACCAGACUUGGGCUUGGUUAAUCAUCUGGGGUUCUCCCCAGUGCACUUUUCCAGUCCAGGCCAGCAUCAGUUUUCCCCGGGGGAUAAAGGCGGCGGGAAUGUGGCUCUCUUCGGGGAGUGUUAUAGCCCACCGUGUAAUACCCUGGGGGGGACUGAGGUUCGCGCAUCUGCAAGGAUGCUGGCGUAAUGGUCAUCAACGACCCGUCUUGAAACACGGACCAAGGAGUCGUCUUCGUAUGCGAGUGUUCGGGUGUCAAACCCCUACGCGUAAUGAAAGUGAACGCAGGUGAGAGCUUCGGCGCAUCAUCGACCGAUCCUGAUGUUCUCGGAUGGAUUUGAGUAAGAGCAUACGGGGCCGGACCCGAAAGAAGGUGAACUAUGCCUGUAUAGGGUGAAGCCAGAGGAAACUCUGGUGGAGGCUCGCAGCGGUUCUGACGUGCAAAUCGAUCGUCAAAUAUGGGCAUGGGGGCGAAAGACUAAUCGAACCUUCUAGUAGCUGGUUUCCGCCGAAGU